rnacentral:rRNA from 1 species
AGUGAACGCUGGCGGUAGGCCUAACACAUGCAAGUCGAACGGCAGCACAGUAAGAGCUUGCUCUUACGGGUGGCGAGUGGCGGACGGGUGAGGAAUACAUCGGAAUCUACUUUUUCGUGGGGGAUAACGUAGGGAAACUUACGCUAAUACCGCAUACGACCUACGGGUGAAAGCAGGGGAUCUUCGGACCUUGCGCGAUUGAAUGAGCCGAUGUCGGAUUAGCUAGUUGGCGGGGUAAAGGCCCACCAAGGCGACGAUCCGUAGCUGGUCUGAGAGGAUGAUCAGCCACACUGGAACUGAGACACGGUCCAGGCUCCUACGGGGAGGCAGCAUUGGGGAAUAUUGGACAAUGGGCGCAAGCCUGAUCCAGCCAUACCGCGUGGGUGAAGAAGGCCUUCGGGUUUUAAAGCCCUUUUGUUGGGAAAGAAAAGCAGCAGGUUAAUACCCCGCUGUUCUGACGGUACCCAAAGAAUAAGCACCGGCUAACUUCGUG